UACGUAGGUGGCAAGCGUUGUCCGGAUUUAUUGGGUUUAAAGGGUGCGUAGGCGGCUUUGUAAGUCAGUGGUGAAAUAUGGCAGCUCAACUGUCAAGGUGCCAUUGAUACUGCGGAGCUUGAGUACAGAUGAGGUAGGCGGAAUUGACGGUGUAGCGGUGAAAUGCUUAGAUAUCGUAAGGAAGACCAGUGGCGAAGGCGGGUCUCUGGACAGUUCCUGACGCUGAGGCACGAAGGUCAGGGGAGCAAACGGG
rnacentral:rRNA from 1 species